AUAAUAUAUAUGAAAAAGUCAUAUAAUUUCGAUAAUAUGGUUCGAAAGUCUCUACAUUAUCACCGUAAAUGAUAAUACUAUGGUACAAUUUAAC
rnacentral:ncRNA from 1 species